CCUUGAACAUUGUCGGAUCCAGCAUGCAACUUCCAUCAUGCGUUUACUUCCAUGAUCAUGCAUCAACUUUGCAAAUCUGCAUCUGCAAUUCCUUUUGUUAAUUGUUACUUCCUCUAUACUUUCCUUUUAAUUCCUAUUCCUUCCACUUUCACAGUUUCACACCGGCUUUCGAUGAUGAUUAUCCGCCAUUUUCGACGCCAACCACUGGUUUUUUUUUCAACGCUUUUCCUUUUAUCAAGACUCAAGAUGAUGGAGCGGAGGAAUGGGAUAAUUCAAAGACUUUGUGAGAAUCAGUAGUGCUGAUGGCCAAAAGAACGAAGAUUCUAACCACCUCACCUACCCUUUUACCUUUGAAACAUUAAUAGGCGUAACUCUAGUUUUUAGAAACCCUUUUUGGAGUAAAAUUUUGUCCUGGCACUUGUCAAGUUUGAAAUGUAUGUUGAAUGAAUGUUUCAGAAAACGGUAGCAUCCCUGCAACCCUUGGCCUUCCAAAUUGGCUUUGAGGCAAGUGACAAAAACCAGCAAGGUUCAACAUUAUAUGCGCUCUCCAAGCUGUGGCUUAACAAAUUUAAAUAUUUAGUCGAGCCUGGCUCGAUUAGGAAUGCUGAUCUGAUUUGCUCACAUACUCCCCGGGUUUACAAGGACCAUGAACAAAUGGCCGUGAAAGUAUCAACUUCUGUAUGAGACUCCAUUUUCCAGAGAUCAUGCUUGGUUCGAGAGUAUCUCAAAUGCAUUUCGAUUUGAUGAACUUGAUGGAAUUCAUGGGAAAGAGUGUAUUUGGACAUAUUUGCUGACAUGUGAGCUGUUGAAGCAUUACAUUGUGGUUGUGGUGGCGUAGUCAGAUAAGGUUUUUGGAGCAGAAGGAAUUCUCCAGCCUUGAUGAUGUGGAGCCAGCAACGCAUACAUUUUGGCAGCUGAGAAUCAAAGUGUCAAUCAUCUCUCUCAAGUGUAGAAGCCGAGAACUUCCGACCGUCUCACCCGUCAGUUCUACAACGGAUUCAGGUCUGACAGUCUUAAGGUGCGUACAGACUUUCGCUCUGCUCCGCAACCGAACGUCACUCGAGCAGAGCGAUUGAUGAUCGACCGGGGAGCAAGAGUGGAACGCGAGAAGAGCUAACAUCUCCCGUAACGUUCAUGAUCGGUGCGACUGCAGAGCGGGGGCGGAGCGAUUGCUGAGCGAUGGCGGAGCGUGGGCGGAGGGGGUUGGAGGCGCGUAUAUCUGUACGCAGCUUUACAUCAACUGCAAGGAUCUUCCAUCGUCUGCAGAGCAGCUUGUCACUCCAGAAGCGGUCAAGGUACUGAAACCUUCCAGCGGGAGAUGUUGUUUAAAAUAGUCCAAUAUUUAGUUAUAAACCCUCUAUAGGCCUAGGUCUAUAUGUGUAAAUAGUUGGAUCAACCCUGAUCUUCAUCUAUAACUCAACAUCAAUUCAAAAGAAAUCUAAAUAUGUUCAUAAUAGCUUUCAUCUUUUUUCUUUUAAGAGCAAUUGCUUGAAGCUAUGAAGAAACUUACUUGACAUUUCUUGAUUGUAUUAAGAUACAAUCAAUUUAAAUAUCUUAUGACAUCAUAAUCACAAUUUAUUCAUCUUAUGAAAUCACUGUUUUGCAAUUUAUUGCACAGAACUGUAGGCAUCUAUGAUUUGGCAAUCUCUUGUUUAGAAUAGAAUAGAAUACUUUAUUGGCCAUUAAGUACACAAUUUAUACUGUCUUUGUCAUUGUCAGUUUGGCUUUGUCAUUUAUACAAUAUAUGAGGACUCAAGCGAUCCAGUCUGUUAUACUUAGGCUCAAAGGUUAUUCUAUAAUAAUGAUUAUAAGUAAAACCAUACAUGAUUAGUCACCAAAUAAUAUUACCUACUAGUACUUAAAUAGACAUGCAAUUAUCAUUGGAGCAUAUUAGUUAUUAAAAAUUACUUUUUUAAAAUUUACUUCAAUUGGAAUUAUAAGAAACUGCUGAUUAAUCAUUAAGACUUCCAUAAUAGAGACGCAGUUAAGAUAGGCUACUCAUCAUCAUACUGGUUGUUGCCAAGUAAUAAUACGUAGUAUUGAAUAUAUGCACAUUGUCAUUCAUUAUGAACAUAUUUAGUUUAUUUUUGAAUUAUUUCAACUUUCCGGUAGUCGCGUCCAUUAUAAAGAACAUGAGUGGUUGCGUGUUGUACUUUUUACAACAUUCAGUUGAGCAUUAAAAAUGAAAGACCUACAGAAAAUCUUGAAAUAUUAAAUGUUGAAGGAUAAAGACGAGUUAAAUUCCUGUUAAUUGUAAAAAGUGUUGUGGGGAAAAUGCUAAAUUUGAUCAGUUAUUUUGGUAAAAUAUAUUGAUGACUUUUAUUAAUCUCAAUUACGAACUAUUCCUCCUAUUAUAAUCUACUAUGAACCUCACAGAAUUUCUUUCAAAAAUAGAUACGUGAGGCUGUGCUAUGUUUAAAGUGAAAGUACUUAGCAUUGCAGGCUUCACUACAAUAGACAUUUUUUCAACUCUUGCCUGAGAUGUUGUAAGAGGUGUUGUGGUUAGUAGAAAUAUAUUAGUUGAAGGCAUAGAUGAUAACCACAAAUCCCUUGAAGUAAAAUACGCUUUCAUUGCUAAAAUAUGAUGAACUGUUGUAACAACGCGACUGCCGUAAGGUUGAAUUAUGGUAUAUAAAUAUACCAUUCUAUAUUUUUAUAUAGUCUAUAUUUUGUAUAUAUACCUAUUUUUUAUAUAGUGAGGUCCACGUUAUAAUGGCAGUGUUUGAUUAGCAAUGGUAUUGCU